UAUUGCCUACGGGGGGCAGCAGUGGGGGAUAUUGCACAAUGGGCGAAAGCCUGAUGCAGCGACGCCGCGUGAGGGAAGACGGUCUUCGGAUUGUAAACCUCUGUCUUUGGGGAAGAAAUCAGACGGUACCCAAAGAGGAAGCUCCGGCUAACUACGUGCCAGCAGCCGCGGUAAUACGUAGGGAGCGAGCGUUGUCCGGAAUUACUGGGUGUAAAGGGAGCGUAGGCGGGCUUGUAAGUUGAAUGUCUAAUCCACCGGCUCAACCGGUGAUCGCGUUCAAAACUGCCGGUCUUGAGUGAAGUAGG
rnacentral:rRNA from 1 species